rnacentral:ncRNA from 1 species
UUCCGGGGGGUGUCCUGUUUUAUGCAGGGCUGAGACGGCGAAGCCGAACCCUUUGAACCUGAUCCGGGUCAUGCCGGCGAAGGAACGGGAAAAUA